ACGAACGCUUGCGGCGUGCUUAACACAUGCAAGUCGAACGGAAAGGCCCUGCUUUUGUGGGGUGCUCGAGUGGCGAACGGGUGAGUAACACGUGAGUAACCUGCCCUUGACUUUGGGAUAACUUCAGGAAACUGGGGCUACUACCGGAUAGGAGCUCCUGCUGCAUGGUGGGGGUUGGAAAGUUUCGGCGGUUGGGGAUGGACUCGCGGCUUAUCAGCUUGUUGGUGGGGUAGUGGCUUACCAAGGCUUUGACGGGUAGCCGGCCUGAGAGGGUGACCGGCCACAUUGGGACUGAGAUACGGCCCAGACUCCUACGGGAGGCAGCAGUGGGGAAUAUUGCACAAUGGGCGGAAGCCUGAUGCAGCAACGCCGCGUGCGGGAUGACGGCCUUCGGGUUGUAAACCGCUUUCGCCUGUGACGAAGCGUGAGUGACGGUAAUGGGUAAAGAAGCACCGGCUAACUACGUG
rnacentral:rRNA from 1 species